UCCGAGUUGACCCCGGCAGUCUCCCAUGAGUCCCCGGCAUUACCCGCUGGCAACAUGGAACGAGGGUUGCGCUCGUUGCGGGACUUAACCCAACAUCUCACGACACGAGCUGACGACAGCCAUGCAGCACCUGUGUUCCCGUUCCCUUUCGGGCACCCCCGCCUUUCAGCAGGGUUCGGGACAUGUCAAGGGUAGGUAAGGUUUUUCGCGUUGCAUCGAAUUAAUCCACAUAAUCCACCGCUUGUGCGGGUCCCCGUCAAUUCCUUUGAGUUUUAAUCUUGCGACCGUACUCCCCAGGCGGUCAACCUCACGCGUUAGCUUCGUUACCAAGGGAAUCAAUCCCCCGACAACCAGUUGACAUCGUUUAGGGCGUGGACUAC
rnacentral:misc_RNA from 1 species